GUGGAAUCCAGUGAGUGGAAGCUCUCAAAGUGUUCUUGUUUAUCUUCCUUUGUUGCCUUUUUAUCCCAGGUUCUUGUGUUCCAGAGAGAGGCAGUUGCAGUUGGGCAGUUGGGAUUUCAACUUGUGUCCAGAAGCAGGAAGUAUCAUAAAUCUUGUGAAGUGACCUGCUUUUGAGAAAUCUGCAGUUCAGUUGACAGAUGAUGGCACUGGGAAAAGGGGCAGCUGAGACAGACUCAAGUGACGCCUGUUACUCUACCUGGUAUCCCCGAGACUGCGGUCCUGAUAAUGUGGCCCUGCAUGUGUGUCAUUCAGGAAAGGUUUGAUGGGAGAAUAACAUAAUUCAAGUUUAAAAGGCGAGAAGAAAGAUACUGGAAGAAAUGG
rnacentral:lncRNA from 1 species